rnacentral:rRNA from 1 species
UUAAUGGGCGUCGAGCGGCGGACGGGUGAGUAAUGCCUAGGAAAUUGCCUUGAUGUGGGGGAUAACCAUUGGAAACGAUGGCUAAUACCGCAUAAUGCCUACGGGCCAAAGAGGGGGACCUUCGGGCCUCUCGCGUCAAGAUAUGCCUAGGUGGGAUUAGCUAGUUGGUGAGGUAAUGGCUCACCAAGGCGACGAUCCCUAGCUGGUCUGAGAGGAUGAUCAGCCACACUGGAACUGAGACACGGUCCAGACUCCUACGGGAGGCAGCAGUGGGGAAUAUUGCACAAUGGGCGAAAGCCUGAUGCAGCCAUGCCGCGUGUAUGAAGAAGGCCUUCGGGUUGUAAAGUACUUUCAGUUGUGAGGAAGGGUGUGUAGUUAAUAGCUGCRYAUCUUGACGUUAGCAACAGAAGAAGCACCGGCUAACUCCGUGCCAGCAGCCGCGGUAAUACGGAGGGUGCGAGCGUUAAUCGGAAUUACUGGGCGUAAAGCGCAUGCAGGUGGUUCAUUAAGUCAGAUGUGAAAGCCCGGGGCUCAACCUCGGAACUGCAUUUGAAACUGGUGAACUAGAGUGCUGUAGAGGGGGGUAGAAUUUCAGGUGUAGCGGUGAAAUGCGUAGAGAUCUGAAGGAAUACCAGUGGCGAA